GUCUUUUAAGAGAGAGUUUUUCCGACCGAUUGUCGACAGAGCGGACUGGUGUGAAUUGUAUUGGAAGGUCGGAAAGCCCAGCUGCGUUGUUUAAUGCACGUUAUUGUGGACAUGAGCAGAACUCCGGAAGGGGAAAAUAGAGUCUCUAGAGAAAGCAAGUAAAAGAUUGGUGUCAGGGAUGGAGCGGCAGUAUUAUGAUAAUGAGACGUGUACUUGGAAAACGGAGAAGGAAUGGAGGGAAAGAGAGAGGGAGAAGAGGGUGAGCUUGAGUCGGAUAAAAAUUGUGGGAAAAAUGUAGAUGAUUUGUCAAAGAAGAAUGGUAGAAAGUGUAAGCAGCGGGAGCUGAAGACAGGAGGAGAAAUGGAAGUGAAUAAGGGCGAAGUAUCGGAGGUGGUAGGUGCGGUAAAGUUAUCGGAGACCGAGGUAUGUACGGAGGAUCAGGAUGAAGAAGAGUCUGACAGUAGGAGUGAAGUUUAUGGAAAAAGUGGACUCUUGCCUUUUGUCUGAUCCAUUUGUGGUUUCACGGUGGGUGAAAAAAGAGUUGGGUCAUGUGGAAUCGGUGAGGGUAACUAGAGGGGGUCUAGUGAUAAUUGUUUGUGUUUAUUUUGGGCAGAGGAAGAAUGCGCUCGAAGUAAAACGAAUGGGGGCAAGCAAAGUGAAUGUUUCGUUCUCAAGAAAAGGGCACCAAUGAAAGGAGUGAGAACUGGGGAAGCAGUAGAUAUAAACGUUGACCAGCUGAGGGCAAAUAUUCCCGGUGUAUGUGAUGCUCGUCGUUUGAUGCGACGCAGACAGGGUGGCGAGAGUGGGGAAACAGAAGAGUCAUUGUCUGUUCUUUUGAGUUUUGAAAUUGAGUCUGUGCCUGACAAAGUGAAGUUAGAAUAUGUGUUAUCCUGUACGAGCGUAUGUGCCGAAUACAUUAAGAUGUUACAGGUGUCAAGCUUAUGGGCAUGUGGCAGAAGUGUGCAGGAGGGAGGGUUCAAGGUGUGAGAAAUGUGCAGAAGGGCAUGAGACAAAGGAAUGUUUAGUAUUUGGGAAAGUAGUGGAAUGUGUUAAUUGUAGGGGUGCCCAUGGAGCUGGGGAUCAGAAAUGUCCCAUGCAAGAGAGGCAGAUUGAGGUUUCUAGGGUUAGAGUAGAGCAGAAGUUGUCAUGCUGAGGCAGUGAAGAAAGUAUAGGAAGUUGGGUUAAGGGGGAGGAGUGGUGAGAGUAGUAGAGCUAUACCAGUACAGAGGGAUAGGACAAAAAGUGAAAUAAGUUUCAGUACGAUUGGAUUUUUAGCAUUUAUAUCAAUGGUUAUUAAUUGUACUGCAGGGAUGGAUUGGAAAAUUUAGGUUGUGGUGAGGUAUUUGGGUGUGCGAGACUUGACAACAGAAGAGUUACAGGAUGUGUUAAGUGGUGAUGUUCCAUCCUUUUAGGGUGAUGGCAUGAGGUAGGAAUACAUACAUUUAAUUAGUGGAGUAGGGGGGUGUUAAUUUAAUUGUAUAUCAUUUUGACAUUAGUGAGUAUACUGUUAGAUGGUAGGGUAUUUAUUUAUACAUUUUUAUUUUUCAAGUAAAGUAUAAGGGAGUUGUACUCCAGUCUAGUAGGUGGUGGUAAUACAACAAAUUGGAUGCCAACCGCCGUUAAAAGACACACUUCUUCUUCUAUGAGGUUUAAGUGUUUGACCGUCAAUCGUCCACAUGGCUGGCUGCCACCGGAAACUUCAGGAAGAUUGCCCAUUAUUUGUAUUUUUUUCCUAUGGCCCCAGAAAAGUGAGGCAGUGGGAGAACCUAUUCAAGUAGGUAGCCUGCUAACGAUCAUGGAAGACGGUGAAAGGAUUCGCUAGCAGUUCUAGAUGUCAGAGAAGGGAGAGCAGGCUACUCUGGAUAGAGCAGAGAGCCAUGGGACCUCUUCAUCUGCAGGCAGUUUCAAUCAAUGUCCCAAGAGAAUAAGGGAGAUCAGCCAUGUGGGGGGCGGCAGGUAGCGGUUAGAGCGCUGGGCCAGUAACCGAAAGGUUGCUUGAUCGAAUCCCCGAGCUGACAAGUGACGCCGAAUUAUAAUCACCGCAACCAGAAAGGCAGCCUCACCCCGACUCCACUAUCCUGUCUGCCCGGUGAAUGAAGAAUCCAUCGAGUUAGAUAGCCGUGGGGGGCAUAUUGUCUGAGAGCCACGUUUCUGAAAAGCAAGGAACAUUGCAAUAGUUGGGCCAUAAGAAAUACUUUUUAUUCAAUGGGGCUAGGCAAAGCAAAGAUGACAGAAUACUUGUCUUUUCACUUAGACAACAAUAUAGCUUGAAGUACAGUAUGUUUACAAUAUCAACAAGUCUUUUAAACGUUCCAAAUUACAUUAUAUUCAUACAGUGUAAGGGGGCACUUUUGUCAUGACAAGGUGCUCUACUCAAUUGACAACAGAAUAAUUGUCCAAAGCACAGCAUAUGACAACCAUGUCAUAUAACUGAGGGAUGUCUUCUUUCAUGUCUGGAAAAAGAUGAAGAAGUAGUAGAAACUGAUGCUGCUGCAGCAUUACCCAUCUUCACAGGGGGAAUCCAGUCAACAUGGGUGUCUUGAUAUAGGUCAGCUGGUGAACCUACAGUACAUCAACAAAUGAGAAGCACACCUGACGUUAGAAUAUCAAAUCUUCAGGUCACCUAUACCAUCGCGGCUCUUAAGUGUUUGGUUGUGUUUAAUUCAUUCAGGUGUUUUAGUGUCAUAAAGAUUAAAUAUAUUGUUGGGCUGGAACAACUAUUACCAUUGGUUGCUCCAGCCUUUUUGAGGCCUUUGUCCUAUGCGGUAAUGUCCAUACAUUUUCCCUCAUUUUAUGAAUAAAGUUAUAAAAUUAUCAUUGGAUUAUCAUUUUUUGAACAAUAAUUUCCUUCAGAAUAUAUGGACGUCAUAUUGUACAAUUUGUGUCUACCCUUUUCAUGGUCAUGGCAAGAAGGGAACCAGCUUUUGUAAAAUGAACGUAAUAUUUUACAUUUCAUAGCCGAUACUGAGAAUUUAAGCAGCAGGUUAGAAGAAUUAGGUUAAGGCUGUGAAAAAAGUUAAGGUUAGCUAAAAAACAAAAUAAAACUUUUUAUGUAAAUUUGAGAAAAGCUGGAUCCCUUUAAGCAAAGACCCCUUUUCGGCCUAGAUUACAUGGUUGUUUUCAAGACAAGGUCGUUCUAAUUGAUCUGCUGUCAGUAGAGUAGGCCUAGACUACCAUCGUAUUAAAAAAGAUUAUGUUAAUAUCUCCAGUGAUAUAAAGUGUAGUAGAAUUGCAUUUAAUGUUAUCAAAGGCCACAUUUUUCCCGUGCAAAGGAAAGAAACGUCUCUGAUAUAGGAUAUAAACCUAUGCCGCUACGCGUUUAUUAACAGCCUAAAUUAUCACUAUCAAAUCUACUCAUCACAUUAAGAAUAGUAGGUUCACAUUUGCCCGCAAAUGCGAUGAUAGAGGCAUGUAAUGCUUUGUUAUAAGGGGCAUUUAUGGUGAGAAAAAAAAAUGGAUUCCCAAAACUUGAAACCCACGCGAUACAUGCUAAAAGCUAGACUACAAGCUAUCGAGCUAACUCACUUAGUGUUGUUAACGCCUGGUUAGCAUACCAGUGAAACUAAACUCAAAAUCGAUAAGACUUGACCUUCCAAUGAUGAAAUGAUCGUAGCAAACCCUGUAUUGAAAGCAGUCUGGGUUGAGGUCUUGACGGGCAAAAAGGUUUCUUCGCUUUUCUGAGUUCUUGAGUCUUAUCUCAUUGGUAUUGCCAAUGGUGUUUCAUGAUUGCGGGGAAUCUGUAAACAUCUUUUCCGGCCUUGUUUGAGGAGCCAUAUACUCCACAGAAAAUGACCGUGGUGAUGAAUCCACUAGUUCUAGUCACUUUUAUCAUUCAGUUUGGGGUAGCCCCUCGGCUGUUUUCAGAAUAAUUAAUGCAGUGGUCUUCCAACAUGGCCGCCAGGAGGCGUUCUACGUCAACUGAAAGCUCUCCAGGGUUGC
rnacentral:lncRNA from 1 species